rnacentral:ncRNA from 1 species
GCGAAGGACUGAAUUUUCGGUCCAUCCUAUAGUAAUAUGGGAUUAAAAAUCGGGUGAAUUCGGGGAAACCCUCCAGUAAGAGGGUAAUCCCGAGCCAAGCCAAGAUGGGUUAAAAUAUCUUGGAAGGUGUAGAGACUAGGAAGUGAGUCCCAACAAUAAUCUUCCAAAAAGCGCCCGACACCCUUUGGGGUGAUGAUAUAGUCCGAUCCUUGAAGUAAUUCAAGA